rnacentral:misc_RNA from 1 species
AAGUCGUAACAAGGUUUCCGUAGGUGAACCUGCGGAAGGAUCAUUAGUAAUUAUCCUUUUGGUAGUGCGCCCUUUUCUUUGUUUAUAAAAGAGCCUUCGUAAGAAGGGUCUUUUUAUACGAAGAGAGUAAGGGGUGUACUGGCUCACGCUUUUCAAGUUUCCCUCAAAAGAACACUUGUCAAGCUGUGGAAACAAAAAAACCCACCAUUGUGAACUAGAAAACAAAAACAUAUAUAAACUAUUGAGACGUUAUCUAUAUUGUAUCAACCAAUAUCUAUUUGUAAAAAAAAUAAUGUAAACAAAAAUACAACUAUUAACGAUGGAUCCCUUGGCUCUUA